rnacentral:rRNA from 1 species
AUUGAACGCUGGCGGCAGGCCUAACACAUGCAAGUCGAGCGGAUGAAGGGAGCUUGCUCCUGGAUUCAGCGGCGGACGGGUGAGUAAUGCCUAGGAAUCUGCCUGGUAGUGGGGGAUAACGUCCGGAAACGGGCGCUAAUACCGCAUACGUCCUGAGGGAGAAAGUGGGGGAUCUUCGGACCUCACGCUAUCAGAUGAGCCUAGGUCGGAUUAGCUAGUUGGUGGGGUAAAGGCCUACCAAGGCGACGAUCCGUAACUGGUCUGAGAGGAUGAUCAGUCACACUGGAACUGAGACACGGUCCAGACUCCUACGGGAGGCAGAAGUGGGGAAUAUUGGACAAUGGGCGAAAGCCUGAUCCAGCCAAGCCGCGUGUGUGAAGAAGGUCUUCGGAUUGUAAAGAACUUUAAGUUGGGAGGAAGGGCAGUAAGUUAAUACCUUGCUGUUUUGACGUUACCAACAGAAUAAGCACCGGCUAACUUCGUG